AUUGAACGCUGGCGGCAUGCCUUACACAUGCAAGUCGAACGGUAACAGGUUAAGCUGACGAGUGGCGAACGGGUGAGUAAUGUAUCGGAACGUGCCCAGUCGUGGGGGAUAACUGCUCGAAAGAGCAGCUAAUACCGCAUACGACCUGAGGGUGAAAGCGGGGGAUCGCAAGACCUCGCGCGAUUGGAGCGGCCGAUAUCAGAUUAGGUAGUUGGUGAGGUAAAGGCUCACCAAGCCGACGAUCUGUAGCUGGUCUGAGAGGACGACCAGCCACACUGGGAGUUAGACACGGCCCAGACUCCUACGGGAGGCAGCAGUGGGGAAUUUUGGACAAUGGGCGCAAGCCUGAUCCAGCCAUGCCGCGUGCGGGAAGAAGGCCUUCGGGUUGUAAACCGCUUUUGUCAGGGAAGAAAAGGUUCUGGCUAAUACCUGGGACUCAUGACGGUACCUGAAGAAUAAGCACCGGCUAACUACGUG
rnacentral:rRNA from 1 species